AAAACUAAAGUAAUUUGAUAGUUUAGUGUUCUGAGUUGUUAAGAUUCCAAAAUGUUAUUAUCCUAAUAAACGUAUUGGCUUUUUUUAGUUACAAUUCUCUAAUUAACUCAUUUUUAGUUUUAUUUGCCAUACUAAUUAUUUUCUGGAUAUGUUUGUAUUCUAAAAACUAAUUUUCCAAUACUUUAUGGCCGUUCUUUAAUUUUGAGUUAAAUAAUAAACUAUUUUUCCCUU